CAGAGUGCGCAGCCAGUGCUGCUGAGGGCAGAGGAGAGAAGAGGGCUGAGAGCAGGGAGAGGCCCGUCUCUUCUCCUGCAGCACUGACUUUUCCUCUG
rnacentral:miRNA from 1 species